rnacentral:rRNA from 1 species
CAAGUUUGAUCAUGGCUCAGGACGAACGCUGGCGGCGUGCCUAACACAUGCAAGUCGAGCGGAGACAGUGAGUAGCUUGCUAUGAGCUGUUUUAGCGUCGGACGGGUGAGUAACGCGUGAGCAACCUUUCCCAGACAGGGGAAUAACACACCGAAAGGUGUACUAAUACCGCAUAAGACCACGGGAUCACAUGGUUCUGGGGUAAAAGAUUUAUCGGUUUGGGGUGGGCUCGCGUCCGAUUAGGUAGUUGGUGAGGUAACGG